rnacentral:lncRNA from 1 species
UUGGAACGGUUGUCUUCCAAUACAGAGAAUGAAGCUCUCGUUUCUUCUUCACCGACCUUCUUUUUCUUCUUCUGCCAUGGCUGCCUAGCUCAAUAUGGUAUCAUAGCUUCAAGGCUAGGUCGAGUAACUCAGCAGCUUCAGGAGAGGAUGAUCGAUGGUUAAUAGCCUCCUUUUCUUUGUUCUUUUCAAUUUUUUUCAACAAUUUUCUUGAAGUCUGG